UAAGCGGAGGAAAAGAAACUAACAAGGAUUCCCCUAGUAACUGCGAGUGAAGCGGGAAAAGCUCAAGUUUCCAAGCGUCAUGGGCGACCAUGGCUGUAGACUAAAGGAGUGAUAUCCAUUUUGUACGACUCGAGUACAGAUCCGUUGGAAAGCGGUAUCAUAGAGGGUGAGAAUCCCGUUCAUGACUCGAGAGGAAAAAAAAACAUUUGUACAUUAAUGCGUUUCGCUUCCAAAGAGUCGGGUUGUUUGGGAAUGCAGCCCAAAACAGGUGGUAAACUUCAUCUAAGGCUAAAUACAGGCACGAGACCGAUAGCGAACAAGUACCGUGAGGGAAAGAUGAAAAGCACUUUGAAAAGAGAGUCAAAAAGUACGUGAAACCGUUAAGAGGGAAACGAAUGGAGCUAGCAUUUGUGCCUCUGUCCAAUCAGCCGGACGUUCAUUGUGGUAGCGACAUGAGGUUUUUUAUGUUUGGGGAGCGCAUUCCUUAAUUGGGAAGUGCCUCACUCAUGUCGCAAUUCGUUUAUUCCACGAGAACGGAUUUAUCCGGUGCACUUGAACAGGGUAUCAGGCCAACAUCAGUUCGGUAAGCCAAACGAAAGAGACAGGAACCUUUAAAGGAAGGUGGCUGGGGCAUGACCAAUUUUUUUUUUGUCUUGUCAAAGCGUUAUAACCUUUUUAGGAAACUUUUUAAAGUCGUGGCCUGGACUGAGGAAAAAGUGUCAGCGUGACUUUUUUUUACUCUUUAUAGGGUUGAAAAAAGAAACUUGCAGAGUUUCGCUGGGAUGCCGGGCAACCUUGACUUUUCCUUAACGGGUAAGUGAUGGAAGUCUACCUUAAGUGUGUCUCAUCGUCAUACGAGCAACGAAGGUCUACGCAUUAACCACGCUUGCGAUGUUGGCGAAAUGGCUUCAUCCGACCCGUCUUGAAACACGGACC
rnacentral:rRNA from 1 species